ACACGUGCGCCGUUUCUUUUUCGGUGGUGCUGGCCGCGGCUGACCGCGAAAGACCGCGACCGCGACCGCGCACCGGAGACGGCGAGCCGCCUUUGUCAGACCCGGGCAUUGAACACGAGGCCCUUUGCGACCACUCGAUCAACAAGAUGGCCUUACUUGACUCCGGGAGAGCGACAACGUUGGCCUGCGGGCGCAAUGAGGGGCGGGCACCUAACUGACGAUUAAAAGGUGAACGUAGCAAUCUUGUGUGGGGUUACCUUCACUGUCACCUGAGGGUGACACGUGGUCCGUUUUUUCCGGUGGCGCUGCCGCGGCUGACCGCGACAGCGCACCGGAGACGGCGGGCCGCCACCGCUUGGCUCGCGGCGCACGCCCGCAAGUGUUGCGCCCUUAAUCUUCAGAUUAAAUUGCGGCCAACCCACGCAUAUUUCUAAAGAAAGCUCUUGACGAGAAGGCUCGCAUUUUACCCCUCCCAGACCUUGCUGUCCUGAACCACCCCGAGAAAAAGAUGAAGACGACUCAACGUGAAAUUCUUCCCGAGGCCGUUAUUUCUGUUCGAGUGACUAGUACUUCGGACCUGGACGACCUCUCAACCUAUUGGACAAAUGACAACGGACAGAAUGAGAUAAUCUAAGUUUAGUUUAUAGGUUUAGUGAGUGUUAUAUCUCACCAAUAUCGACUUGGACGAUUCGACACAGCUUUUGGAUACAGAAUCCGACAUUGCGUAUCUGUGUUAGUGUGGAUUUGUUACUUCACACAACACACCAGAGAAUACGCUUUGAUAAUACUGUGCGCAGACUGUGAUACGUCUGUGUACGACUCCCAAGGCUAAAUUAGUGCACGACACUUCGCGAGCACCACAAAGUAAACGUUUCAUCUUGCCAUCAUUUUUGGGAGAGAUUUUGCGGAAGUUGUACUUGAAGAACUUACUGCCGCACCACCGGACAUACGCCAUCAUACCACUUGAUUGGUAUGACAACGCUCUCCAGAAACCGCUUCUGGAGAAGAUAUAAUGUUUGGACCAUAAUUAUUAUCGGUCCCGAUAUUAUUGCUGAAGUUGAUUUGCACGCUGUGGCCAAAUGUAAUCUGCUACGCAGUAGACUGGACCAGCUGGAGCAGCAACUUAGUCAAAUAUACUUACAUAAUGUUAGCUUCAACAACAAGAGUAACUAACUUAAGUAAAUUUGUUCGUAUGACAUACAAAAUAUGGUCGUAAAUUGAAUCGCUGCGCAGAACAGCUAAUAUAACUAUGUGUUAAACAUUUUUUCUUAAUAGGAUUAAAUAUGAAUAAUCGAUAUUGUAACGUUACUAAAUAUCAUAUUAUACCUUGUAAUCUUAGGCCAUGAGUAACUAAGUGGGCAUGUGAGGUGUUACAAAAUUAAGUUUGCUAAUGUUUCACACUUGUCCCUUUUGUUUUUAAAAAUAUGGGUAAAAUAAUAGAAUCAUAUGAGCAGGAUAGGUGUCAUAGCAAACUUAUUAAAAAAUGUAAUGUCUUAUAUACUUACUUAACGUCACUCAGCUCUCAAGAUAAGUUCAGUUAAAAUUUUGGCUAAUAUUCCAUAUAAUAAAUGUACUAGUUGAUGUCAAAGUUGAAUCGUUUCAUUUUGAGUCCGCUUCCUUGGUAUUAGUUUGCUAACCCCCGGAACAUCAGGUAAGGAUCAUUCUUAUGUAUUUUCGUGUUUUGUUCACUUACUAAUCGGGUCAUAUUUUUUUCAGAUGAACGAAUGAUGAUGGCCUCAUCCAAAAUAUGAAAACGCCGAGGAGUCAGAAGACCGCGCCCUACACGCGAUAUAUAUGUCAUGCCAUGCCCCGACCCCAGGACACGCUACAGUGCCGUGUGGUGCCCGGCCGGAAAGAAUAGCACCACCCCCAGUUCUCGUGGGUGUCGUAAGAGGCGACUAAGAGACCUGAGACUGUGCAACUCAAACACAGCUCAGGGUCCAGUCGGGGACCAGUCCUGACAGACAACAUUCCAUUAGUUAGUUUGAAAAAGAACAUAAAAUCAGCAUCAUAUUAUGUUUUGUAAUGGUUUCACGACUUCUCUUCACUGUCCUUAUGACAGUUUGUAAGGGCAAUGGGUAAUGUUGGCCCACAUCUGAAUAGGAAUAAGAUAUUCCUCAAUGGUUUAGGUAUUCUUAUAAAUAAUAAAACUUAGUAUUACAUCUAAGUUAAAGGUAAAAUGAGUGACAAUUAACGGGAAAACCACAAAAUGGUCUAAAAUAAUGCUUAACACAAUAAACGCCAUGGUGGCAAAAGUGACCGUCGCUAGCGGAGGAUUUACCUUCAACUGAUUUUGUUGGCAGUCAAAGUAUUAAACUUCCGAUGAGAAAAGUCGGACGCCGCCCAGGUCUAGAACCACAUCUGCGCGCACGCAGCUCCCUGAAUUGGGCCUGACAAAACAUUUUUUAGGAGUGAGACUAUCUUCGACGUUCGACGCGGUCGAGUGAGAAUUACCUCGGAUCAUGGAAACAAUUGGGACAUCCUGGACUACCUCUCAGCCUAUCGGCUAAAUGACAACGUAGUGUCCACAGAACGAGACAGGCUGAACCAGCUGACAAGAUUAACCUGAAAAUAUCGUGGCAUUUGAAAUCAUUUGUGAAUAUUUCAUGUCGUAUCUAAUUCGUUUUAUAAUAAAUACGUACCAGUCUAAAUUAA